UACGUAGGGUGCAAGCGUUAAUCGGAAUUACUGGGCGUAAAGCGUGCGCAGGCGGUUUUGUAAGUCAGAUGUGAAAUCCCCGGGCUUAACCUGGGAACUGCGUUUGAAACUACAAGGCUAGAGUGUGGCAGAGGGGGGUGGAAUUCCACGUGUAGCAGUGAAAUGCGUAGAUAUGCGGAGGAACACCGAUGGCGAAGGCAGCCUCCUGGGAUAACACUGACGCUCAUGCACGAAAGCGUGGGGAGCAAACAGG
rnacentral:rRNA from 1 species